GAACUACGAGUCGCUGAUGCUCGUGCGGUGCCGAGAGGCAGCAGAGGAGGGCCGGGUGUGAAAUCCACGGCUGUGGGAACCAGUGCUGCUCCCUCCUCCCACCGAGCCCAAGUGUCACAUUGGUGGCAUCCCAGCGCAGGGGCUGUGCAGCACCCACAGAUGGGGAGGUGCAUAGGCAAGCUGGCACGGAGCGGCUUUGCCCUCUCCCGGGGCUGACGACAAGCUGGUCACAUUCUUGAAGCCAGAAUAUGACACUUUUACAGCCUGCCUGGCGGUGACCUCUGGAAUUCCAGAAUAAUUUUCCCUCCCCUUCCUGGUGCCCUCACGUGACCCAGGAACACAAACAUCUGAGAGACCUCUGGGCAUCUUCACAUCUGCUGGUAGCAGUGACCUCCAGAAGCAUUUGGUUCUGCCAGAGCAAUGACAGCACCUCUGCCAUGACACUGCCAGCGGGAGAGCUAGAUGCAACCGGGAGUUGUUUGGUUUCCUGAGGAAAAGAGAACACUUCCAGAAACAAUUAAGCUGAAGGCAAAACCAGGUGGAGGGGGACAUGUGAGCCCUAGCAACCAUCACAGUAGGCAUGCUCUGUCCCUGGAAGAAGGGCAGGUGAGAAAAGCAAAUGGGCCCUGCUGUCUGGAUGAUGCCACACAAAACCCAUGGAGGAUAUACCCUUCAAAAUUGACAAAAAUAGCAUUCAGAGGCAGAGCAAUGGAACUAGGACACACUGUGGCAGUGCAAACUCCUGCUGCCACCAGUAGCCCUUGCUGCCACUGGAGUUGUACUGGCAUUAGUAAUGACAGAAAAAUUCAAGAGCCAUCUCUGGAGGGCAUUGUCCCAAGAUACUUUCUACUGAUACUUUCCCAGAAUGAGUUCAGAGGAGCUGUAAGCAGCCACUGUUGGCACACCUGGGCAAUGUCACAUGCUGUAGGGAGAUGCAAGGGAAUGGAAAUACAUGGAAACAUGAUGCUACCAGAAAGAACUAUAGCUGUAAAAUUUAAUAGUGUGAUUUGUGAAGCUGACAACACCCACCAUAAGUCACAAAAUAAAACAGAAAUGCACGGAAACUGUAAAUCUUUCUGA
rnacentral:lncRNA from 1 species